CCUACGGGCGGCAGCAGUGGGGAAUAUUGGACAAUGGGCGAAAGCCUGAUCCAGCCAUGCCGCGUGUGUGAAGAAGGCCUUCGGGUUGUAAAGCACUUUCAGUGGGGAAGAAAGCCUUGGGGCUAAUACCCUCGAGGAAGGACAUCACCCACAGAAGAAGCACCGGCUAACUCCGUGCCAGCAGCCGCGGUAAUACGGAGGGUGCGAGCGUUAAUCGGAAUUACUGGGCGUAAAGCGCGCGUAGGCGGUCUGAUAAGCCGGUUGUGAAAGCCCCGGGCUCAACCUGGGAACGGCAUCCGGAACUGUCAGGCUAGAGUGCAGGAGAGGAAGGUAGAAUUCCCGGUGUAGCGGUGAAGUGCGUAGAGAUCGGGAGGAAUACCAGUGGCGAAGGCGGCCUUCUGGACUGACACUGACGCUGUGGUGCGAAAGCGUGGGUAGCAAACAGGACUAGAUACCCCUGUAGUC
rnacentral:rRNA from 1 species